CCGUUAAUUUCAUGUUUUUCUAUUAAAAAACAACUGUCUCGAAAGUUGAUCCGAAAAUCUAAAACUAGUCAGCAUCGUGCAGUAACCGAAAUUUUAUUUGUCGAAGGAAUCCAUUGAAUUUGCUGAAAUUGAAUUUGGUUGCGUCGCCUUUCGUCCUCUGACGUCGCGGGGAGUCCUAUUCCGUCGCCAUGAAUGCCAAGCACGGCUAAAUUAAUUUCACGCUCGCGUUUACGGAGUCGCGACGACACGGAAAAAAAGCACGCGUCCACCACAUCUCCGCCUCCGGUGUAACGCGAUUGGUCCAGCGAAUCUACCAAUCGCAGCUUCCACCAGAAUCUGAGAAUUGUACUCGUAGUGGUGAUCACGUGUACGCAUACUCACACGCGGUCAUGUAUGCACGUGUAUGCAUAUGCACGCAAUACGUAUACGGGAACUGUCGCCUCUUUCGAACCAGAGAAGCAACGAGAAGUUUCUUCUCUCGUGAUAACGUUACAAUGCUUUUAACUUUGGUAUGUACAUACAUAUAUUCUUAACAGGGAAAUGAUUAUGAAGAUAUCGUGACUAAAAUACAAAAGAAGGUCUUCGUAGAAUAUAAGGUUAAACUAUACAAAAUACAAAUAAAAUAUGUAAAUUCUUUAGGUGUCUUAUACGAAAUUGAAGUCUAUCGAAAACUAUUCUUAUUAUCUUUUCGAAGCAAAAAGAUAUAUCUCAAUGCUGGCUUUUCGAGAUAAACAAUUGUGUUUCGAUUUUGCAUUUGCACUUUGCACUCAUGCAUUUUGACCCGACGUUUCGUAGAUGUCGCAGUCUACCUCUUCAGGCCAGACCUGAAACUAAAAAGUCUUUGACUCGAAACAUAAAGAGAGGUGCAAAGUGGUCCGAUUUAUAGAGUAUCAUUAUAUAAUAGAUCUAUCUUUACUGCAUUUUAAAAAGUUUAUAUGAAAAUAAUUAUACAAAAAUAAAAAAAAGUGAAUUAGUUCUUUGAAAGAGUUGAUUGAAUUUAUGGAUAAGUAUUUUGUAGAGAUUCGAAGAAGUUGACAGAAGUACAAUAUUCUUUCAAUAAUUGCAUUGAAAACUUUGCGUAUUUAAAGUUGUACGAUACUAUAAGACGACAGUAUGGUGGAAAUUAUACAAAUUUUUCUAAAUUAAUCAUUGUAUCGAAUAUACUAAUAAAUUGAAAAUUCCUUCAUGAAAUUUAUUAAACUUCCUGAGGCAUAGCAAUAAAAAUGCAUCGACUGGAAUUUCGAACAAUAAUGUCAAGAUAAAUGUGAUUCCCUUUCGUCAAAACCUCGCCCAGUCAACAAGGACAUGAUCGAUAUAAGCUAGUCGCGAAAGCGUUGCUAGAGAAACUUGAUAAUCGUAUCAUAUAUAUCGUGUAAACACUCAGAACGAGUUUGGUGGGUCGAGCAAGCAAGAUGUCUUACGAACGAAAUAGGAAUUCUUCGGCUUCGUCCAUGUGGAGACAUAAAGCUUACGAACGACAUCGUAUAAAAGU